rnacentral:rRNA from 1 species
UACGUAGGUGGCAAGCGUUGUCCGGAAUUACUGGGUGUAAAGCGCGUGUAGGCGGGAGGCCAAGUCUGCUGUGAAAUCGCCCGGCUCAACUGGGCGGGGUCGGUGGAAACUAGUCAGCUGGAGGACGGUAGAGGUGAGUGGAAUUCCCGGUGUAGUGGUGAAAUGCGUAGAGAUCGGGAGGAACACCCGUGGCGAAGGCGGCUCACUGGGCCGGUCCUGACGCUGAGACGCGAAGGCGUGGGGAGCGAACGGG